ACUCUGCUGUACAUAGAGCAGAACCUCAGUUAAUGUCGUUGGUAACUUCUGUGUUGACCUGCUAUUUCAUGACGUAGUGGUUACUGUGAAAAACAUCUAUUAGCAAAUUUUCCCUGUUGUAGUAAAACAGUGGCAUUCUUCAAUUAGCAAAAUAGCUCCAACAUAUAGUGUCAGUCUAAUGAGACUGGUGAGCACUGGAACAGCUUUUUGUUGCAUUUUGUUGUGGAUACUGACACUGUUUACUGCCAUUUCAUUUGGCCACCUGCUCUCUUGGACAAUCAGCCACAGCUCCAACCGUGGGGAUCACCUCAGGAGGCAUUUAAGAGCUGCUCCACAUAGGAGUCCAUGCAGAAAAAGACCUGCUCUCCAAAUUCACACGGGAUGCCAAGGAGGGAUGACACCUAAACAGAAGGGGAAGCUUUUUUGUCAUCUUUUUUUCUAACAAGGAGGAUGGAACCCCUUCACAGCCUCUCUGAAAUCAACCCCUGCAUGUGCACAGAGACUGAUGGCAGAAUGAGCGUGGUGUGUUGUGCCUGGUUGUUCAUUACAAAAAGCUUGAAGGUUGAAGAAGUUUUGUAUUUUACACACUACCAACAACAGGGCCAUUAAAAUGCAAACUGUAGCUGCACUGCA